UGAGCACUGAGCAGGGACCCGGGGAGAGGCUGAGCUUCGGAUAACAUAAUAUAGCUGCUCAAGAGCCCAUCCUUCCUGCUAAAGCACUGCACGUCAAGCCUUUCACACAGUGUGGGAAAGUGAAUAAAAGGAUAGAGGAGGAGACACAGGUCACAAACAAUAUCGCACUGAUGCAGGGGGACCACAGCACAGAGCAGGAGGGAUGGGGGAUUCUUCUCAACUUUUAAACAAGAGUCAGCAGCUUUUGGAUGCACCAAUUCCAUGACUAAACCAAUUCCAAGAAUUUCUUCAAGCUGCCGUCUCUGUGGAAUGCUUCCUGUCCUUCCUGCUUCCUGAGCAACAGGAAGAUGAGGAAACGGUUGAAACUCCCUUGAUGGCCAAAACUCUUUUGAAGCUCCCCCUGACUGCCUAUAGGAAGCUGCAAACCAGACACGGGAAUUGUUCAGGAUGAAGAAAUACAAUGAUUCGUUGACAUCUCUGAUAUCAGUUUGAACCAACACUUUAUAAAUCACAGUGAUGAUUCAUAGUUUGCUACGAUAAUCUUUUUGUUGUUUAAAAAAAGCAUUCCAGAUAUCAAAAAAACAUUUUCAAUUCUGCGUUGCUAUAGUGUAUAUUUCCUGGCAGGUAUGGCUGAGGACUAACACUAAUGUACAAUAUCAACUAAAGUGGGCCCUGCUUUAUUUGACUAUUUUAAGGCUCUCUGUUUUAUUAACACAGCACUGACCUUGGCUCAUGACAAUGCAUUUUUAUGUCAGCUUACAUGAGUGUGUUGUACUUUCUAAGGUCAAAUACAAAGAAUUGCUAUUUACUCAGACCAG